UACAGGGGGUGCAAACGUUGCUCGGAAUUCAUUGGGUCGUAAAGCGCACGUAGGCGGUUCGUUAUGUCGGAUGUGAAACGGCCCUUGGACCUUAACCGAGGAAGUGCAUCCGAAACUGGCGAGCGUAGAGUAACUAAAGAGGAGUCGCGGAAUUCCCGGUGUAGAGGUGAAAAUUCGUAGAUAUCGGGAGGAACACCGGUGGCGAAGGCGGCGAUCUGGGUAGAUACUGACGCUGAGGUGCGAAAGCGUGGGGAGCAAACAGG
rnacentral:rRNA from 1 species